rnacentral:rRNA from 1 species
AGUGAACGCUGGCGGCAGGCCUAACGCAUGCGAGUCGAACGGCAGCACAAGAGAGCUUGCUCUCUGGGUGGCGAGUGGCGGACGGGUGAGGCAUGCAUCGGAAUCUGCCCAUUUGUGGGGGAUAACCUCGGGAAACCGGGACUAAUACCGCAUACGACCUACGGGUGAAAGCAGGGGAUCUUCGGACCUUGCGCAGAUGGAUGAGCCGAUGCCGGAUUAGCUAGUUGGAGGGGUAAAGGCCCACCAAGGCGACGAUCCGUAGCUGGUCUGAGAGGAUGAUCAGCCACACUGGGACUGAGACACGGCCCAGACUCCUACGGGAGGCAGCAGUGGGGAAUAUUGGACAAUGGGCGCAAGCCUGAUCCAGCCAUGCCGCGUGUGUGAAGAAGGCCUUCGGGUUGUAAAGCACUUUUGUUGGGAAAGAAAAGCAGCCGGUUAAUACCCGGUUGUCAUGACGGUACCCAAAGAAUAAGCACCGGCUAACUUCGUG